UACGUAGGGGGCAAGCGUUGUCCGGAUUGACUGGGCGUAAAGCGCACGCAGGCGGCAUCGCGCGUGGGGUGUGAAAUCUGGCCGCUUAACGGCCAGGCGCCAUCCCAUACGGCGAGGCUGGAGCGAUGCAGAGGUCGGUGGAAUUGCCGGUGUAGUGGUGAAAUGCGUAGAUAUCUGGAGGAACACCGGUGGCGAAGGCGGCGUUCUGGACUGUAUCUGACACUGAAGAACGAAAGCCAGGGGAGCAAACGGG
rnacentral:rRNA from 1 species